AAUCCAUGCAUCGAACAUUUUCGAAUUAAAUCUUUAAAUCAUUCCCAAGCUUUAUAUAGUGUUUUAUCCUUAAAUUGAUGAAAAGAUGUAAUGUCAUUUCUAAGCUU
rfam:Gossypium raimondii chromosome 7, whole genome shotgun sequence.